rnacentral:tRNA from 4 species
GGAGAGGUGGAUGAGCGGUUUAAGUCGCACGCCUGGAAAGCGUGUUUAGGUGUAAGCCUAACGCGGGUUCGAAUCCCGCCCUCUCCGCCA